CCAAAAAUAUUCUCGCUGUUCUGAUUUUGUCAUAAUCAGGAUAGGCUAAACAUUUGCUAUAUUAAGACCAACCAUGUGUCCCCAGGCCUAGUUCUUUACCCACCUAAGUAUGGUCUUAGAAAUGCUGGUGAUAAAU